UACGUAGGGGGCAAGCGUUGUCCGGAAUUAUUGGGCGUAAAGCGCGUGUAGGCGGCUCGGUAAGUCUGCUGUGAAAGUCCAAGGCUCAACCUUGGAAAGCCGGUGGAUACUGUCGAGCUCGAGUCCGGAAGAGGCGAGUGGAAUUCCUGGUGUAGCGGUGAAAUGCGCAGAUAUCAGGAGGAACACCAACGGCGAAGGCAGCACUCUGGGCCGGUACUGACGCUGAGGAGCGAAAGCGUGGGGAGCAAACAGG
rnacentral:rRNA from 1 species